AGCAAGUCAGCCAGCAGCCAGGGAGGGGAAAGGUGUCAGUGUGCCUUCUCCCCUCCCCCACCCCGCCUGGCCAGCUCUGCUUGUCCCCCCCUCCCCAUGCCAGCAUGGGAUGCACACACUUCCGCUGCACAGGACUGCACAGAGAUGCGGCACGUGAAGGAGACAGGAGCCUCCAGCCACCAUACAGGGGGACAGAGGAUGACCUUGGACCUUCUACUCUGGAAAUCAUGGGUUCACCCCCUGAUUUGGGUGUCCUGGCCCAAGCCUUCCCUUCGACCUCCCACCCCCACCAGGAGGGGAAAAGGAAGGGACAUGAGAAUCUAGAUGCUUUGCUGCUGCUGUUCCUGAUCAUGACGAGAGCGACAGUGACAAGCCCACAGCCGUCCACCUCUCCAGCAUCUUUCACAGCUCUGUUCCCACUUGGCCCUUCACAUCCUUCAUUCACUCUAUCCUUACACCUCG